rnacentral:rRNA from 1 species
GCAAGUCGAGCGGAGUGAAGGUGCUUGCACCUUAGCUUAGCGGCGGACCGGUUAGUAAUGCUUAGGAAUCUGCCUAUUAGUGGGGGACAACGUUUCGAAAGGAACGCUAAUACCGCAUACGUCCUACGGGAGAAAGCAGGGGAUCUUCGGACCUUGUGCUAAUAGAUGAGCCUAAGUCGGAUUAGCUAGUUGGUGGGGUAAAGGCCUACCAAGGCGACGAUCUGUAGCGGGUCUGAGAGGAUGAUCCGCCACACUGGGACUGAGACACGGCCCAGACUCCUACGGGAGGCAGCAGUGGGGAAUAUUGGACAAUGGGCGAAAGCCUGAUCCAGCCAUGCCGCGUGUGUGAAGAAGGCCUUUUGGUUGUAAAGCACUUUAAGCGAGGAGGAGGAGCUUCAGGUUAAUACCCUGGAUGCUUGGACGUUACUCGCAGAAUAAGCACCGGCUAACUCUGUGCCAGCAGCCGCGGUAAUACAGAGGGUGCAAGCGUUAAUCGGAUUUACUGGGCGUAAAGCGUGCGUAGGCGGCUAAUUAAGUCAAAUGUGAAAUCCCCGAGCUUAACUUGGGAAUUGCAUUCGAUACUGGUUAGCUAGAGUAUGGGAGAGGAUGGUAGAAUUCCAGGUGUAGCGGUGAAAUGCGUAGAGAUCUGGAGGAAUACCGAUGGCGAAGGCAGCCAUCUGGCCUAAUACUGACGCUGAGGUACGAAAGCAUGGGGAGC